GGGCCUGUACGACACACCAUCGGUGAGCAGGUGGACUAUGGACGAGUUCCAUAGUGCUAUAGCAUGGCCACAGGAGUAGGCACAAGGCAGUGGAUCUGGACCAGCUGAAGCUCCAGUGAUGGAUGACGAUGAGGAGGAUGACGCCUUUGAGGACGCAGAGGCUAGAGAUGAUGAUGAUUAUGAUGACAGCAUGAGCUGAUUGGACAUCUACUGAUGGAUGUCGC
rnacentral:lncRNA from 1 species